AGAGGCUGGCACUGUCGCGUUGAAACGCUCACAUUUAGACGUCACCUGGCAGUGUGUGUGUGUGUGUUUUACAACGUUGUGUGUUUGUGUAACAGGUCAAGGCUGUCUUCGGUGCGGUCAAAGCUGAGUCAUAUUUCCUGGAGAACUUUGGUGGAUGCUGGCAGUUUCACUUUUGUCUGGAAAGAGGAAGGAGAGUAGCUCAGACGUGAGCGAGGAAUGAAGUGCUGGGUGGUGUCUGUCCAUUGUCAAGACAAGCAUGAGAAGAAAGGACUUUUGUGACUUGUUUUGCUGGACCAUGCUGCGUCUUCCUGCUGGACAUCCCGUAUGAUGGCCCAGGAGUAUGUGAUGAAACAAAGGACUGAGAUACUGCGCGCCGUGUGCAGCAGCGGCUCGGCCGAGCAUCUGGAGAGGGUUCUAGAUGUCCUCCUGGCCCACGGGGAGCUCUCAUGGGAGGAAUACCAGUGCAUCCAAGUCCAGGGAAGACCACUUUACACCAAUGCCAGACACCUGCUGGAUAUUGUCUACACAAAGGGAUUGGCGACCUGUGAGAUUUUUGUCGCUGCUCUCCAACAGGUCCUUCCUGAAGGUCAAGGGGCAGGACUGUGCUUCCCCGGAGAUAUCUCAAAAGUAGAAGAACGCAAAGAAGCUGGAAGAACAUCCACUGAGACUCUUCUUAGUCAAAGACCAAGCCUGGUUGGCAAGCUGCAAGGCUGUGUUGGUGGUGCUUUAGAAGCCCUGCUUCAAUUAGGACACUUCACGUCGGGGGACUGCGAUGAAAUACGGCUGCCUAUCCACACCCCCACUCAGCAGGCGAGACGUUUGCUCGAUCAUGUCAGCUCCAAAGGUGAGUCGGCGGCCAACGUCGUGCUUCAGUACGUUGACCAGAAGCAGCAAUAUGGCGGGUGUAACCUGGCAGAGGAGAAACUGACCCCACCCGCAGAGUUCCUCAAAUACCAGAAGAAGCUCCGCAGUUCCGUGUCGGCCCAGUCCAGUUUCCUCAGCACUUACGGGGGCACCAGCCACAUGCCACUGGAGGACAUCUACACCCAAGGCCAGCUGGAGCUGGCACACGACUGCAAGGUUCAGGGAGAUUUGGGUCUGGGGGACAUUGUCGGUACGGCGGGCACCGUGAACGAGGAGGCGGACACGGUUCUGGUAUCCGGGGACGCGGGCAGCGGGAAGAGCACCUUACUCCAAAGGAUGCACCUACUUUGGGCUCGGGGCACCGCCCUGUCGGAGUUCCUCCUCCUGUUCCCUUUCAGCUGCCGAAAGCUGAAUUUCGAGCUCAAGGAGCUAUCUGUUCAAGACCUGCUCUUUCAGCACUGCUGCUGGCCCGAUCGGGAGCAGGAGGAGAUCUUCCGCUUCAUCUUGGACCACCCGCAUGUGGUCAUCUUCACAUUCGACGGUCUGGAUGAGCUAAAGCAGAGCUUUUCUGAAGAGCACAGGCUCUGCUGCCCUACCCAGCCUGCGCCCGUUCACGUCCUGUUGUUCAACCUCCUUCAGGGUUCCCUCAUGAAGGGGGUGCGAAAGGUGGUAACAAGUCGCCCGGAAGCUAUAGGUCCGAUACUGAAGAAACAUCUCUGCAAAGAAAUCUUCCUCAAAGGCUUUUCCCCAAACGGCAUUGACUGUUUUGUCAAGAAGCAACACCAUGAUGCAGAGGUGGCUGCUAAGGUUCUGGCUUCCAUUCAGGCAAACACGGCUUUGCUCGGACUUUGCCACAGUCCGGUCCUCUGCUGGAUCGUCUCACAGUGCCACAAGGAGCUGCUGGGCUGCGGAGACGGAACGCCCCAAACGAUAACAGAUGUCUACUUAAUGAUCUUGCAGCACUUCCUGCAGCACCAAAGCUCCCUUAAGACCUCUAAGGUGUCAGGUUGGCUUCAGGAGCAUCUCACUACUGUGUUGCAUCUGGGCCAGCUUGCCUUCCAGGGUGUUGGGGCAUCCUGCUACAUCUUCUCCGGCACAGACCUGGACACCUGCGGUGUCACGGAAAAGGAUAUCUGCACAGGAUUCCUCAUCCAAAGCAAAGAUAUGUCCAACCACCAGAGUCAUCAGUACGAGUUCCGUCACGUGACGAUGCAGUGUUUUUUCGCCGCGCUGUACAUUGUGUUAUCCAACAACACUGACCGCUCUACCGUCACUAAGCUCUUUGAGUUGCACGACAUGAGGGAGACUUGCUUCAGCAGCACCUGCUUCACAUCCUGCCUGGCCACAGGCCAACAACAGACUUCGGCUGAGACGCCAAAUCUUCAAAUCACAGCCACUUUCGUGUCCGGCCUCCUCUCUCAGAGACACAGACGACUGUGGUCCGUCUGCUCCCAGACACCACUGGUGGACAGAAAAGUGCAACAAGUGGUGAAAUGUCUUUCCAAAGGCAUGCAGAGGCACUUCAAGUCCAUCCCCCCGCCAGUGGAGGGGGAGAAGAAGAGCAUGCACGCCAUGCCGGGCUUUGUCUGGCUCAUUAAAUGCAUCUAUGAAAUGCAGGAGAGCAAGAUGGCCAAAGAGGUUUUGAGCAAGCUGGAGGUGGACCACCUGAAGUUGACCUACUGCAACAUCGGACCCGUAGAGUGCACGGCUCUGGCCUACGUGCUUCAGCAUCUGAGGAAUCCUGUGGGCAUCCAGCUGGACAACAACUCUGUAGGCGACGUGGGUGUGGAGCAGCUCCUUCCCUGCCUGCAUAUUUGUAAUUCUCUCUACCUCAGAAAUAAUAACAUCACAGAUGAGGGCAUUCGCAAACUGAUUGCAAAGGGACUCCAGUGUGACAGAUUCGAGAAAAUUGCGCUCUUCAACAACAAGCUAACCGACGCUUGUAUGCAACACUUUUCUCACCUUUUGAGGACCAAGCAGAAUUUCCUUUCUUUGAGGCUUGGCAACAAUAACAUCACGUCGGAGGGAGCGAAACAGCUGGCGAGGGGGCUGCAAUCCAACCACUCACUGAAGUUUUUAGGGCUUUGGGGCAAUCAUAUUGGUGAUGCAGGUGCAGAGGCCAUUGCCGGCGCCCUAGAGGGCAGCAAAACUCUAACAUGGCUCAGGUAACAUAUCCAGCCCUUAAUGCGAACUGGUCGUUUAUGAACAUAUUGCACAACACAGCAGCAACAGAACCAAUGUUGUAAUUGUGGACCAAUCGGAAUUCAAGUGUAUUACACAGGUUAGAUGCAAUAUAAACACAAAUCUAACAUCAUAGCUCGUACUUAAAUUGGAUCGCGUUCAAAUUUUGCGUGUUUCCAGCAGUAGUUGAGAUUCCAAAUAUGGUAACUGUAGGGUAAUAUUGUUUUUUUUAACUUGUGAGCUGAGUAGAUGGACAUUUAUUGCAAGUAGAUUAUAGAAAACACAUAAGAUAAAGUACAUUCACAUAAGCAGCUAACUGAACUGAUAUACCCAUAGCCAGGUACCCGUAGUAAGUAGGACCAAAUUAGGAUGUUCUGUAUGUGCCUGUCCUGUUUUGUUCAGAAAAAUUGCUGAAGGAAGACGACGUCAGAAAAAACACGACUCUCAGCUGUUAGUGACACACACGCACUCACAAGGAAUGUUCCAGAUAAGGUAUUUUGGCACAAGAUCAUGCGUCAGUCGCCUGGGAGCGUCAGCGCGCGGGGCGCCAAAGUCUCUCUUCUUCUGGUCAGGAGGCCGCAGGAGGACAUAGGAAGACACAUUUUUUAGCCCGGGAUCCUGUAAUGUGAUUCUAUUCUGUCUGACGUAUUUACAAUACAUUUUGUUAACCUUCUACUGGUGUAUAAGUCGUAUUCCUUCUCAUAAUUGGAGAGUAACAAACACCUUGGUGAAGAAUGGCGUGGGAAGUGCUGGAGCGUGUGCCCUGGCUAAAAUGAUCAAGAGUGACACGUCGCUGGAGGAGCUCUGGUUGACAGAAAACUGCAUCACCAGACAAGGAGUGGAGUGUUUGGUUCAAGCCCUGGAAC